AAGCAGGAAGAAGAUCAUGGCCACCCGAUGGAGCAAGAACAAGGUGAUGGAGGCAGCACAAGUGAUGAUGAGAUGAUAUCCAUGUGCCAAAACAAUCUUUUCCAAGAGCAGAAGAGGAUUUUGCAAAUGGUUCCUAUUCUUGGUAUGUACUCUGAUAACUACUUUGUGAAACUACCUAGGAGGGUCAAUGGAGAUUCUGGCUUGGAUUGGGUGCAUAAUCGUCUAGCCCGAGAUACCGAUUGCUACAACAUGUUUUGGGUUGAGAGACCUCUAUUCAACAUAUUACAUAAUACUUUGGUCCAAUCAUAUGGGUUGAGGGCUACUAGAGAGAUGGCAUCUAUAGAGGCUCUUGCUAUGUUUUUAUGGAUUGUUGGCUCACCACAGUCAGUUAGACAGGCUGACAACCGUUUCAGGAGGUCUUUGGAGACAGUAAGCAGAACAUUUAACAGAGUUUUGACAUGCCUGCUUAGGUUAGCACAUGACAUAAUUGUACCAAAGGACCCAACAUUUUCAGAGUUGCACCCAAACUUAGAAAAACCUGGUAUAUACCCACACUUCAACGACUGCAUAGGAGUUAUAGAUGGGACACAUGUGAAGCUUGUGGUGCAUAAGAGUAAGAGAAUUCCAUACUUAAACAGGCACAAUGAAACCAGUCAGAAUGUGCUUGCUGUGUGAUUUCGACAUGAGGUAUACCUUUGUGUUGUCGGGAUGGCCUGGUUCAGUACAUGACAUGAGAGUAUUCAAAGAUGCCAUGACUACACAUCAUCACAAAUUUCCACAUCCACCACCAGGGAAGUAUUACGUGGUUGAUGCGGGGUACCCCAACCGGCCGGGCUACCUUUCACCAUACAAAUGUACAAGGUACCUUGUUGAGCAAUUUCAGAAUGGCCCGCCGCCACAAGGUAUGAAAGAAACCUUCAACCAUGCACAUGCCAAAGUUAGGAAUGUCAUAGAGCGGUCAUUUGGAGUGUUGAAGAUGAAGUUUAGGAUUUUGUUGAAUAUGCCUUGCUUUCUGGAGGACAAGCAAACGAGAAUUAUUGUUGCUUGUAUGGCUCUUCAUAAUUUUAUCCGAGAGAACAGAAUUGCGGAUAGAUAAUUUGAUGCUUGUGAUGCAGAUGAAAAUUAUAAUCCAUUUCCUACAACUGCAUCCGACUGGCCAAAAGAUGAACCUUUUAUUGAGGAUGUCAGCAUGAAUGUCUUCCGAGAUCAGUUGGCCUAUGAUUUGAUUAAUGGAGUGUAAUUUUUUUAUUCAUUCAAGACUUGUAUGUUUUAGUGCGACAUCUCAUUUGUAUGGACCAUUUAAAUUUAAUCGUAUUUGUGAUGAAUUAUUUGUG